rnacentral:lncRNA from 1 species
UUUCAACCAAUCCUAACGAAACUUUCCAUUGUAUAGUGAUCUGAUUGAUUAAACGUAUAAAGGAUUUUAUUUUUUAUACAUAAGUCGCUCCAUUUAAUUAUUCCUUUCAAACUGCGCAGUAUUGAACGAUUGCCGUUGAAUGUUCAUCAAUCAAUUUAUUGUGGCUGAAGAUAUUUAUUCAUCAAAAAGUAAAUAAGAACUAAUAAUAAGAAACAUUGACCGCCGUUAAGAAGUUUAUCCACGAACUUAUGAUUAGUACUCACCAUUACCGAUUUCUUGUCACUAUGAUGAAGAUUGCCACGAAUGGAAAAAGUUAUAACGUUUUUCUUGAACAUAAAAUGUGUAAAGAGAAUAAAAAAUGGUAUUCAGGUAUCGGAGUGUAGCAGAAUGAUAAAACAUAGAAGGAGAGAAUAGAAACAAGAUUGGAAUGGGAAUGGAAUCUGGAUAGAGGCGCGCAUGCGUCGACCCCGUUCAUUCACUCCUCCAAAUCAUUCAUAAAUCGCGGAAUCCUACGCUUGUAAUCUUCGCACUUCUCGCAAUUAAUGAUAAAACAAUGCAUAUU